rnacentral:rRNA from 1 species
GAUGAACGCUGGCGGCGUGCCUAAUACAUGCAAGUCGAGCGAACAGACGAGGAGCUUGCUCCUCUGACGUUAGCGGCGGACGGGUGAGUAACACGUGGAUCACCCACCUAUAAGACUGGGAUAACUUCGGGAAACCGGAGCUAAUACCGGAUAAUAUAUUGCACCGCAUGGUUCAAUAGUGAAAGUCGGUUUUGCUGUCACUUAUAGAUGGAUCCGCGCCGCAUUAGCUAGUUGGUAAGGUAACGGCUUACCAAGGCGACGAUGCGUAGCCGACCUGAGAGGGUGAUCGGCCACCCUGGAACUGAGACACGGUCCAGACUCCUACGGGAGGCAGCAGUAGGGAAUCUGACGCAAUGGGCGGAAGCUUGACGGAGCAACGCCGCGUGAGUGAUGAAGGUCUUCGGAUCGUAAAACUCUGUUAUUAGGGAAGAACAAAUGUGUAAGUAACUAUGCACGUAUUGACGGUACCUAAUCAGAAAGCCACGGCUAACUACGUG